CCACCUAUAAAGACGUUGUUUUUUAAUUAUUAUAAUUUGUUGUUGUUGUUGUUGUUGAGCUGUAUAUUCAUCCAAAGCUAGAGAGCGCGCUGCAGCUUGCGUGUUGCGUGUGCUGUAUGUCACUUCCGACACAGAUGCGCACAGGUUACGUUCUUCGCAGAACCCUGAUCGUGUGUUAAAGUAGCCUACAGCAUGACAACGAGCGCUGUUCAUCCAUUGGCCUCUGCAUCAUCCCAACUGACGAUCAUGUCAGUGUUCGUGGAGAGCUUGCAGGUUUGCUCACACCACCAUCUAAACUACAGCUGGAUUGUUCUCCAGCUAUGACUGGACGUCCUGUGAUCCCCAUGGAGCACUGCCUGGCUGUUGUGGAAAUGCCUUGAGUCUGCCCCAAGGAUGCUGGUUACUGUUUGUUGAGGCUUCUUCACCAUUUGCUGGUGUUUGCACACAAUUAUUGGUUCACUAAUAUUGCACUAAGCGUGCACAUUUUACAUGUGGUAUUUGGGGCCACAGCCCUGAAAAGUCUGCGUCUCUGGUGAUCAUCCCCAGCCUUCUUAUUCAGUUUUAUUAACAUUAUUUAUCUGUCUAGUGUUACAUAUUUUAAUCAAUUAAGGGUAGCUACUGUAUUGUGGUUUGUAAUUUGUUUUACUACCUUGAUUAUUGCACAUGGUCUACUGUGAC